UAGAGCUACUGAAACACUAGUUCUUGUCUGAUCACCAAAGCUAAGCAACAUUGAACCUGGCCAGUACCUAGAUGGGUGACCACUCAGAAAUACCACGUGCUGUAAG